rnacentral:rRNA from 1 species
UGAGGAACACGUGGGUCACCACCCCCGGAGGGGGGGAUACCCCGUCAAAAGACGGGACAAUCCCGCAUACGCUCUACGGAGGAAAGCCGCAGGGCGCUCCGGGACGGGCCUGCGGCCCAUCAGGUAGUUGGGGUGGUAAUGGCGCACCAAGCCAAUGACGGGUUCCCGGUCUGAAAGGACAACCGGGCAAACUGGGACUGCGACACGGCCCAAACUCCUACGGGAGGCAGCAGCAAGGAAUUUUCCCCAAGGGGCGCAAGCCUGAGGGAGCAACGCCGCGGGGAGGACAACGGCCUUCGGGUUGUAAACUCCUUUCGGGCGGGACAAUGAUGACGGUACCGCCAAAAGCAGCCCCGGUUAACUCUGUGCCAGCAGCCGCGGUAAAACAAAGGGGGCAAGCGUUGUCCGGAGUUACUGGGCGUAAAGGGCGCGAAGGCGGUCUGCUGCGUCGGCGCUGAAAGCGCCCCGCUUAACGGGGCGAGGCGCGCCAAUACAAGCAGGCUGGAGGCAAGCAAAGGGCGGCGGAAUUCCGGGUGGAGCGGUGAAAUGCGUAAAGAUCCGGAGGAACGCCAGUGGAGAAGUCGGCCGCCUGGGCUCGACCUGACGCUGCGGCGCGACAGCGUGGGGAGCAAACCGGAUUAGAUACCCGGGUAGUCCACGCCGUAAACAAUGCCGGCUCGGCGUUUGGCGCGCGCGAGCGCGCUGGGCGCCUUAGCUCACGCGGUAAGCCGGCCGC